GACUUUUACCUCACUGAAAGCUACAACUUUACCCUGGACAACAGCCUGUUUAGUUCUGACACCUUUGCAUAUUAUGAUGGUUUCCUAUCAGAGGAAGACCGGCCCUCCUUCCCCCAGACCUCUCUCACUUAUGCAGUUGCAGUAGCCUGUUGAUCCCUAAGAUGUCUGGUAGCGUUAAUAGUAUGUGAGAGUCAGCAGGUGAAGAUGGAUGGCCUGCCGCUGGGGAGAUGGAUGACUCUUCAAGGGAGGAAAUUACCAAGAGUGAUUGAUCUUCCAGGCAAAAACUGUUGCUUCUUAGCACCAUUUCUCCAGAGCUGAGGGAGCAGCAGUCAUUCUCAGUGGAUCCUCUGCGAGACGUCUCAUAUGAGCUCAGCUGGCUAUCCCUCCCAGUCGAGUCUGGAGACAUUAGUCCAUGGUUUCUUUCACCCACAAUGUUCUUAUCAAUGUUCUUAUUAAAAGUGUGGUACUUUUUUGUUCCUGA